rnacentral:rRNA from 1 species
CACGUAGGGGGGCAAGCGUUGUCCGGAUUUAUUGGGCGUAAAGAGCUCGUAGGCGUUCGCUAAGUCGGGUGUGAAAACUCUGGGCUCAACUCAGAGACGCCACCCGAUACUGGCGUGACUCGAGUCCGGUAGGGGAGCAUGGAAUUCCUGGUGUAGCGGUGAAAAUGCGCAGAUAUCAGGAGGAACACCGGUGGCGAAGGCGGUUCUCUGGGCAUUACCUGACGCUGAGGAGCGAAAGUGUGGGGAGCGAACAGG